rnacentral:rRNA from 1 species
AUGAACGCUGGCGGCGUGCCUAAUACAUGCAAGUCGCGCGAACAGACGAGGAGCUUGCUCCUCUGACGUUAGCGGCGGACGGGUGAGUAACACGUGGAUAACCUACCUAUAAGACUGGGAUAACUUCGGGAAACCGGAGCUAAUACCGGAUAAUAUAUUGAACCGCAUGGUUCAAUAGUGAAAGACGGUUUUGCUGUCACUUAUAGAUGGAUCCGCGCCGCAUUAGCUAGUUGGUAAGGUAACGGCUUACCAAGGCAACGAUGCGUAGCCGACCUGAGAGGGUGAUCGGCCACACUGGAACUGAGACACGGUCCAGACUCCUACGGGAGGCAGCAGUAGGGAAUCUUCCGCAAUGGACGAAAGCCUGACGGAGCAACGCCGCGUGAGUGAUGAAGGUCUUCGGAUCGUAAAACUCUGUUAUUAGGGAAGAACAAAUGUGUAAGUAACUAUGCACGUCUUGACGGUACCUAAUCAGAAAGCCACGGCUAACUACGUG